UCUGGGAUUGAAGGCGGGACAAAGCAAAUCAAAAUGGCGGCACCCGUAACUUUCAGGAUGUUAUGCUGGAGUAUUCUUGUCAUAUUUCGGCGUUUGCGGAGAGUCAGGCGAAGAAGGCAACCACCGGUGAACCUAUUUGAGAGAGUCGGAUUUUGGGGAGUUGAUGAUGAGACGAACGAACGUCUACUCCGGGUUUACAGACGCCGGAAACAACAACAGACCCUGAGGUUUAUCACGCUGCUAACCAGAAUCAUCUCCGGAAAUCGUGUGGCACGAACUGUUUGGACGCGAGAGCGGAGCCAACACUGGUGGCUGUAUAUUGUAAGAGAGACGUUCAACCCUCAGCAAUGGAUCGAAAACUUCAGAAUGAGCUACAGAACCUUCCAAUGGCUUUGUGAGUCGCUCAGGCCUUACAUCUCCAAGACAGAAACCAGGAUGUGACGGCCUAUUCCUGUGGAACAGAAAGUUGGUGCUGUAUUGUGGUUUCUGGGAACUACAUCAGACUCUAUCGCACCAUUGCUCACCUUUUUGGAAUAUCCAGAGCCUCACUGUGCAUCUUUGUCAAGGAUGUUUGUGAGGCAAUAUGUUACCAUCUGACACUACAGUUUGUGAAGCUACCCACUGAUAUAGAGGCUACAAAUAUUAUAGUCAUUUAAAGAAAAAUGGGGAUACCCUAUUUGCAUAGGUGCUAUUGAUGGCUCACACAUACCCAUUGUCGCACCGAAUGAGAGUCGAGUAGAUUAUUUUAAUAGAAAGGGCUGGUAUAGUAUUAAUAUGCAAGCACUGGUAGAUGACAGGUAUAUGUUUAGAGAUAUCUGUGUUGGAUGGCCAGGAAGCACUCAUGAUGCCCGUGUUUUAGUUGACUCCCAGCUCUACCAGUUUUGGGAAAAUGGUGUGUUCCCCCAUCUUCAAACAGAAAUCGAUAGUGUGAUGGUACCUGCCGUUAUACUUGGCGAUCCAGCAUACACUCUCCUACCUUGGCUGAUGAAGCCUUAUCCAGAAAAUGCAGGGACAACAGAAGCCCAAAAAAAAAUACAACUUCAUCCAUAGCCGUAGCAGGAUGGUGGUCGAGAACACCUUUGGGCGGCUAAAAGGCAGAUGGAGAAGGCUUUUGAAGCGAAUCGACAACAACACAUGAAAUGUUCCGAAUGUCAUUGCUGCCUGCUGUACCUUACAUAAUAUCUGUGAGACCCAAGGAGAGGAUUUCCUUGAUCAGUGGGUCAAUGAGGCAAAUCAGCCACCUAGUAACAAUGUGGUUGAUGGAGAAAAUUAUCCUGAUAUUGACAAUGCCCACGAUAUAAGAAAUGCUGUGUCGUUACUUUGCUAAUCAAAAUUAACCUUACCUUGAUGAAGUAUUCCAUGUUUUGUAAGUAGUUUAUUACAGUAUAGUUUCAGACAUGUUUUUGAAAUUACUGGUGUGGUGUGUAGUUUGAAAAACGUAAUAAAGAAAACAGAAACAAUUUUUGUAUUCAGAAUGAUAUGUAUUGUAAAUUUCUAAAACGUGAGUUAUAUAUUGCACAAUUACUGAUAUGGUCCAUAGUUUGAAAAGUUAGGGAAAGAAGUAGAAGGCGAUGGAGGGUUCAGGGCCUGUAGUUGUGCUGGUUGCUGUGGCAGCCGCUGG